UGAUAUGAUGUUAUCUGGCUGCAACAUGUCACUCCAUUAAUAAUCAGGAUUCAGUCAGCUGAUCAGACUCACCAGGUGAAUGUUCCAUUUUUAACUCAUCACUCAAUGUGUGCUACUUCCAAAACUUAGUGGAAAAGAAUAUCCACCCCAUAUGGAAGGACUAUCCUACCUUUCAGUAAUAUUUCUA
rnacentral:snRNA from 1 species